rnacentral:lncRNA from 1 species
AUAAAUACAAACACAAUUGAAUAUAAUACGCCACCCAAGCUCACUGCUGGAGCCGAGUUAUGAUCCCUGACACAGCCGAAAGACAAAGAGACCUGAAAAUUGUUUCGGAAGCCCAGAAACAAUGGCCAUCGUUUCUCCCGUGUUGGUUUCCUUUUCAAUCUUUUCUCUGUUGCAGCAUAAAAAAAAGAUAAAAAAUUAUAUUUUGCUAUGAUUAGACCCAAACAUAAUAACAGCGAAUCGGUUACAAUAGAGAUUCGAGAACUAGUUCAAAGAAUGAUAAUUUGCUAAAAUAUCAAAAGGGUCGAUGAGAAAACAAGAAUUAAUUACCAAAAUCAAAACAAAAACCCAACAUCCUCAUCGAAGAUUGAGAUUUGUAACUAUAUACUCUCUAUUUAGCUAGAAGUCAACUCAUUCAAGCUCUAACGAAACAAUAUUCCAUUCCUUUUUUCUAUUCAGGUAUUCUUUACGAGGUUUUAUAUUAUGGGCUAUGACAUGGAUGCUUUCUUUCAGACACAGAGAAGAGAUUAAAACUCACACCAUACAGUUAAAACAUUGUAUUCAACGUUGAAUCACGAGAUUAUAAAUGAAACCCAAUAAAGGCCGAGUCAGUACCUACGAUUGGAGGGUACAGUUUAGCCUUUAGGAAAAUGAAGAGUUGGCAAGAUGUUGCCCUGUCCAUGUUAAACCCAGCAGCAGCAGAGUGAAGGAGAUG